UACGAAGGGGGCUAGCGUUGUUCGGAAUUACUGGGCGUAAAGCGCGCGCAGGCGGCUUUCCAAGUCAGUGGUGAAAGCCCGGAGCUCAACUCCGGAAUUGCCAUUGAAACUGUAAAGCUUGAGUACGAGAGAGGUGAGUGGAAUUCCCAGUGUAGAGGUGAAAUUCGUAGAUAUUGGGAAGAACACCGGUGGCGAAGGCGGCUCACUGGCUCGUUUCUGACGCUGUAGCGCGAAAGCGUGGGGAUCAAACAGG
rnacentral:rRNA from 1 species